AGUAACGCGUGGGUAACCUGCCCUUAAGUCUGGGAUACCAUUUGGAAACAGAUGCUAAUACCGGAUAAAAGCUACUUUCGCAUGAAAGAAGUUUAAAAGGCGGCGUAAGCUGUCGCUAAAGGAUGGGCCUGCGAUGCAUUAGCUAGUUGGUAAGGUAACGGCUUACCAAGGCGAUGAUGCAUAGCCGAGUUGAGAGACUGAUCGGCCACAUUGGGACUGAGACACGGCCCAAACUCCUACGGGAGGCAGCAGCA
rnacentral:rRNA from 1 species